rnacentral:rRNA from 1 species
UACGUAGGGUCCGAGCGUUGUCCGGAAUUACUGGGCGUAAAGAGCUCGUAGGUGGUUUGUCGCGUUGUUCGUGAAAACUCACAGCUUAACUGUGGGCGUGCGGGCGAUACGGGCAGACUAGAGUACUGCAGGGGAGACUGGAAUUCCAGGUGUAGCGGUGAAAUGCGUAGAUAUCUGGAGGAAUACCGGUGGCGAAGGCGGCAUCCUGGACCGGCAUUGACGCUGAGGAGCGAAAGCUAGGGGAGCAAACGGG